GACGAACGCUGGCGGCGUGCUUAACACAUGCAAGUCGAACGGAAAGGCCCUGCUUUUGUGGGGUGCUCGAGUGGCGAACGGGUGAGUAACACCUGAGUAACCUGCCCUUGACUGUGGGAUAACUUCAGGAAACUGGGGCUAAUACCGGAUAGGAGCUCCUGCUGCAUGGUGGGGGUUGGAAAGUUUCGGCGGUUGGGGAUGGACUCGCGGCUUAUCAGCGUGUUGGUGGGGUAGUGGCUUACCAAGGCUUUGACGGGUAGCCGGCCUGAGAGGGUGACCGGCCACAUUGGGACUGAGAUACGGCCCAGACUCCUACGGGAGGCAGCAGUGGGGAAUAUUGCACAAUGGGCGGAAGCCUGAUGCAGCAACGCCGCGUGCGGGAUGACGGCCUUCGGGUUGUAAACCGCUUUCGCCUGUGACGAAGCGUGAGUGACGGUAAUGGGUAAAGAAGCACCGGCUAACUACGUG
rnacentral:rRNA from 1 species